rnacentral:rRNA from 1 species
AUGAACGCUGGCGGCGUGCCUCAUGCCUGCAAGUCGAGCGAACAGAUGAGGAGCUUGCUCCUCUGACGUUAGCGGCGGACGGGUGAGUAACACGUGGAUAACCUACCUAUAAGACUGGGAUAACUUCGGGAAACCGGAGCUAAUACCGGAUAAUAUAUUGAACCGCAUGGUUCAAUAGUGAAAUACGGUUUUGCUGUCACUUAUAGAUGGAUCCGCGCCGCAUUAGCUAGUUGGUAAGGUAACGGCUUACCAAGGCAACGAUGCGUAGCCGACCUGAGAGGGUGAUCGGCCACACUGGAACUGAGACACGGUCCAGACUCCUACGGGAGGCAGCAGUAGGGAAUCUUCCGCAAUGGGCGAAAGCCUGACGGAGCAACGCCGCGUGAGUGAUGAAGGUCUUCGGAUCGUAAAACUCUGUUAUUAGGGAAGAACAAAUGUGUAAGUAACUAUGCACGUCUUGACGGUACCUAAUCAGAAAGCCACGGCUAACUACGUG